ACAAUAAAUACAUUGGAUUCCUCUGCUAAUCCUCGCGCAGCACCCGCUAACCCUUGUUCGCCUACCCACCGCGCCUUCGCUUUUCCGGGGCCCUGAAGUUGCCGCGUUCCCGCGUCGGAAAUCCCCUUCUCGUCUAGAUCUUGAUCCAAACUACUUCCCUUUGUCCACGCUGAUCUCGUCUGGAUCUGUAUUGUUCCGAUCGAGUAGACGAGGAACGGUGAAUCUCUCGCUUCUGUUGUAUAUCUGUUCGAAACACAUGGAUUUGUUUUGUGAUGUGCAGGUUCCAUCAUAAUUGAUGAGUUGCGCGUGCGCUGGCUCGGAUUGAGAUGAGUCUGCGUCCAUAUGUGCACGGUGGCUGCGGAUCCUCGUGUUUGGGCGCGUCGGUUCUGAUGCUGAGCUGGGACGUUUGGGAGAGGUUGGAUGUUCUUUCAGAGGCAUCGAAACGUCGCUGCGGCGUGGCCGGAUGCUGGAUCUGCUCCAACUCGCCUGAUGAUGUCUCUUUGUAUUGAUAAUUAUUGGAUGAAACUUCGAUAAUUAUUAGAUCUGAGAGAUCCGUGUCCAACUGAAGCUGAGGUAAGUUACACGCAUGUAACCACCGAGUUGCGUGCGUGUGGAGUUUGGAGGAGGAAGAUGUGAAAAAGAGAGAUGUGAAAAAAGAGAUGUGACAUCUUGAAGGCCUUUGCCAUGAUGGGUGCGCUCGCAUGGCAGGCCACCGUAAUAAAGAUGUUGAUUUUGUGCCUUGGGUGGGAGAUCGCACGGGGGAGUUCUUUAAUCCCCCGGGUUCUCCCUCCCUUUCGUGUCCCUGUGCCCUGCUUCCUGAACGUUGGCUGCACUUUGUCUUUCCGAUACACCUCUUGGUUUGCAACUAAUUGGCAAGGAACUACAAAGCAACACGCAAGGUACAAUUGGUAAUUCGAAAUUUACAAUCUGAAUUUGCAAUUUAUAAUACAGACUAGAUAUCUACAUUUAUUGAACGUUCAUAACUCCAAGCCCAGUCAUGCUUGUUAACAAAUGCAAUACUUAUCCAUGCUUAAGUCUGUGUAAAGUUGCAACGCCCCAUGCUGGGCCCUGCAUGGGAUCGUUCUCAAUUGCUUAGUAUAAUUGCCUACACUUACAUUCUCUAUUUAUAAUCUUAAGCUUUUAUGAUGGAUAUUUUCCGUAAUUGGAGAUUGGCAUCUAGUUAUCAGAUACACUUGUGAAAAUGAAGUAAAUGAAAUGGUCAGUUUUUCAUUAAUUUAGAUUGUGUAAAUGGAACGUGAACACACGUUAAUCAACUAACUGUUCAAAUGUACAUUAGAUGAAGUUUCUAACAAAUUCCAACUUAGCGCCCAAUGGAAAUCGUGCUGCCAAUGACAACCACUAAUUGAUUUGUUCAAUUUCCAACUGCUGAUCCAACAGAUUUUUUUCUUUUGUUUCAACUGUCAAGCUUCUGUUUAUCAGUAAUUAUCUACUACAUGUUUUGUAUUACAAGUUCAUUAUGUGGUAUUUGUUCAAGUGGUUAUUUUUCAAGCUAAGUUGUAUUUAUUUAUCUAAGAAUGAUAAUAUAUUAUAAGGUAGCUGUACUGUUUCCUCGUGUAUCCUUUCUUAUACAAGUUGCCUCAUGGCAAUUAUUAAUUCAUUGUAAACAGCUUGUAUAAGCGCGGUGUUGUCUUUCCUUGAAAGCUGUAUGAAGAUCUUGUCUCAACCUACAUGGCGAUAUUGAAAUGAACAAGGGUGUGUGUGGAGGUCUUGAGCUCGGCGCAGGUUAUUGCUGAAGCUUGUCCUGUACUGAAAUGUUCCUGCUGUUCUUGCUCCCCGAAGCUUCUGUGCUGAAAAGUUACUGCUGCUCUUGCUCCUGGCAUUCGGCAGUUCAGACAUGCUGUUUGAGCACAAUGUAUUUCCACUUCUGCAGCCAGGCUCGUUGGUCGGAGGCUUGAUGGUGAUUAUUAUGUUUGGUAAUAUGUAGUUCGUCCUUAUAUUUUUGCUGAAGAUCACUGUUAUUCUACCAUGGAGGUUGUUGCUGAAGGUUACUGCUGUUCUCCCAUCAUUCUGCAUUUAAAAAAAUGUUUGAGAUACAUUUCGCUGCUGGAGCAAGCUCAUUGGCAGCUUGGCAGGCUUGAAGAUGGUUGCUUUGUGAACUACCAAUUUAGCACUGAGACUUAAUAUUGAGUUAAUUUCAUAUCUUAUUUGGAUUGUUAAUUAAUUAUAUGUGGUGGUUGAACAAUUAUUAUCUGGAGAUUAUAUUGUCAUACAUGCUAAGUUGACAGGUCUGUGUCGUCUGCAAAGCUGUCGUCUGCAAUUAAUGGACACUGGAUACAAAUAUGGAUCAGAACGACGCUGUAUGAAGUGGCACAGAGCGAUGAUAUCAUGGGAGCAUGUAGGAGUGCUUUUGCAUGUGAGAAGAGAGGUUUUCCUUCAGUUUUGGUCCAUUGUGCGUGCAGAAGCCUGGGCAAGUCAGGUAUUGUGCUAAGAUGGUCAACAGCUGGAACAUUUUAUUUCUACUCAACGUCGACAUGUUUGGUACAUCUGUUUUGUUCUUGAAAUAUUUUCUAUUAAACUUGUGUUAAUUAAAAUAUUUUCUUUA